GACGAACGCUGGCGGCGUGCUUAACACAUGCAAGUCGAACGGAAAGGCCCUGCUUUUGUGGGGUGCUCGAGUGGCGAACGGGUGAGUAACACGUGAGUAACCUGCCCUUGACUUUGGGAUAACUUCAGGAAACUGGGGCUAAUACCGGAUAGGAGCUCCUGCUGCAUGGUGGGGGUUGGAAAGUUUCGGCGGUUGGGGAUGGACUCGCGGCUUAUCAGCUUGUUGGUGGGGUAGUUGCUUACCAAGGCUUUGACGGGUAGCCGGCCUGAGAGGGUGACCGGCCACAUUGCGACUGAGAUAGGGCCCAGACUCAUACGGGAGGCAGCAGUGGGGAAUAUUGCACAAUGGGCGGAAGCCUGAUGCAGAAACGCAGCGUGCGGGAUGACGGCCUUCGGGUUGUAAACCGAUUUCGCCUGUGACGAAGCGUGAGUGACGGUAAUGGGUAAAGAAGCACCGGCUAACUACGUG
rnacentral:rRNA from 1 species